UUAAGAAGGAAAGUCACGUGUGAGUGGGAUAAAUAGUAAUAAAGAGACCUGACAGAAAUAUGCAGUAUUCAGAAAGAUAAUGGGCUGCUUAGACCACUACAAAAUUAAGAUGGAAUUUGCCUAACCAUGGGCAACUGAUGGUCCCAGGGCCUUUUUAAGACACUGAGAGGCUUGGGGCAGAAUGUUCAUUUGAGGCCCUUCCCUGUCUCUUCCUCCUCACAGCACCUUCCCUUAGCUGGAAAAAAGCUCACACAUCUGCUCACAUUACCUUUCCUGGAUUUCCACCCAAAGCCUCCACCAAAAAACCAAGCCUAAUGGAAGAAUUCAGUAAUUAUGAAGAGGAACAGAAGAAGCCAUGAGAAGAUGCACUAUAAGGAACUAAUAUUUUUUUCUGGUUAAUCUUAGACAAACUUGUUAAAAUGACUGCAAGAUAAUUUGCAUCAGUGUGUUAUUUUUCCCCAAGUCACACACAUUUCUGUGCUUCACAUAGAUAUCAGUCCAAUUUGGAGAGCUCUACAGGUAGAACUACUGGUACCAAGUCAUUUAACCACUCUGGAAGA